rnacentral:rRNA from 1 species
CCUAACACAUGCAAGUCGAACGAAGGCUUCGGCCUUAGUGGCGCACGGGUGCGUAACGCGUGGGAACCUGCCCCUCGGUUCGGAAUAACAGUUAGAAAUGACUGCUAAUACCGGAUGAUGACUUCGGUCCAAAGAUUUAUCGCCGAGGGAUGGGCCCGCGUAGGAUUAGCUUGUUGGUGGGGUAAUGGCCUACCAAGGCGACGAUCCUUAGCUGGUCUGAGAGGAUGAUCAGCCACACUGGGACUGAGACACGGCCCAGACUCCUACGGGAGGCAGCAGUGGGGAAUAUUGGACAAUGGGCGAAAGCCUGACCCAGCAAUGCCGCGUGAGUGAUGAAGGCCUUAGGGUUGUAAAGCUCUUUUACCCGGGAUGAUAAUGACAGUACCGGGAGAAUAAG